rnacentral:lncRNA from 1 species
GUCCCUGGUGAAAAGAGAACAUGGGGGGAGUCUGGUUAAACAUGGCUCUAUGGGCCAUGGUGCCUGGAAAGGGCUUCUCCCAGCAAGGGGCCCCCUGGGCCCCCAACCCACCCCUGCCAGGCCUACAAGAACACCUUCUUCCCAUUCCCCAGCAAUGCUCUCCAAGUGCCUCCACUGCCACAUUGAUGGGAAAGCCAGGGUAUGGUAGGUACACAGUUCCCUCUGGUAGGUGGAGGCAUAGUCAUCCGUGGAGUGCUCCAGAGAGUAAUACCAUGUAGCAGCAGCCUCGACGCGGGCAUCUGAGUCCUCGCCACCCAGAGAAUUCUGCAGUGC